CUCGGGGAUUUUAAACAUCUUACCUUCAGACUUGCUGGACCAAGACAUAUGCGGAUGAAUUUCAGAGGGCUUCACCUCUUCUAAAGUAUUUUCUCCUUCAUUUAAGAGAUGAUCCAAUACAACGCUACUAUUGGGAAUAGUCGUCGAUUUCUCUACUGACGAAGUUGAGGGGGGAAUUUCAUUAAUUCUUGGCGCUUCCGAAUUUUUUUGACGCUGCUGGUUAGAGCUUGAAUGUAUAUUUCCUCCAACAGGUCUACCCGUAUGCUGGUAUUGUGAGGAUGAAUAGUAUUUGUUAAAUGUGCAUUUUUCAAAAGUGUAGAGUCCUCCCAGUUUACUACCGCAAACAGUCAGUUUUCCACCGGACAGGAUAUUAGAAAUUCUCUCUGU